rnacentral:rRNA from 1 species
UACGUAGGGUGCGAGCGUUGUCCGGAAUUAUUGGGCGUAAAGAGCUCGUAGGCGGUCUGUCGCGUCGGUCGUGAAAACUUGGGGCUUAACCCUGAGCUUGCGGUCGAUACGGGCAUGACUGGAGUUCGGCAGGGGAGACUGGAAUUCCUGGUGUAGCGGUGAAAUGCGCAGAUAUCGGGAAGAACACCCGUGGCGAAGGCGGCUCUCUGGGACGGUACUGACGCUGAGGCGCGAAAGCGUGGGGAGCAAACAGG